ensembl:lincRNA
CAGCAAAGCAAUCGGCAUGCUUUACCUGCCAACUCUAAAUGCCUUGCUAUUCCUUCAAAAGGACCAUGGCCUGGGGGGCGUUUCGUUUGCAAAUGACUUGCUUUUGCUGCUAUAUUGCCAACGGGAUGCCCCAGGGACAUACGUGUUCCUUUUCAAUUAAUAUGCUUCCAGGCAAUGUGUAACCGGAACAUGCCCAACAGGGCCGAAAUUUUUUUUUACCCCCCCAAAAACGCUUAUUUCUCAGAAGUCAGAAUCGACGUCUAUUCCCAUUCACCACUGAAUUAUUUUCAAUUCCAUAGUUGGAAUCUAUGCCCACCACGAUGAAGCACUCAAGCAAGCACUCCAACGAGACGGUUGAUGAGGAAUGGUUGGCUUGGCAAGUGAUGAGCAAUCGGUUAUAACAAACCUGGUUUUGUAGUUAUGAAAGACUCACACGCACAUGCACAUCGCACACACACUUAUUGUAUCGUAAUAUAAUGGGUGUAAGCCUGGAACUUCUAACACACUUUUCUCUGAACAUAUUCUGUUCAUACUUCCGAAAUCUUCACAUUAUGUGUUCCAUGUAUUUAGGCAGGUGAUAGUGGAUUCAAAAAAUCGAAUAGAGAUGGAAUAGCUAUAAAUAAGGCCUUUGUAGAGUUCGUUUUGCGUCCGCUGUGAUUUCUGGCGACCGUAGUGACAUCUCUACCCCACUGGCGAAACGACAGUUUUUGCAUCCAAAAUUCAUCUUCACCCUAAUACCUUUUGUAAAUAUAUAAAAGCAAACGUAUAAAAAAGUAAAAUAUGAAACUAUAGACACAACUUUUCUUUUGUCCCCAUAGUGACAUGCUGAGACAGAGAUGUCUGAAAAAUGCCGCCACCCAAACAACGCAGAGCAUCGAUGGUUGGGGUGUCCAAUCGUGCACGACGAGAUAGGAAACGGAGGCCUCUAGCAUCGCAAAGUGCCACCCAGUUGCCCGCUCUUGAUACAGCAAAUGGGAUGUCUGACCUGCUGGCGGGUGUGAGCCAGUUUCCGGUGAGCGAGACGACAGUGACAAACGACCUGGAGGAUCAGAGCUUGCCUCAAUACUGGCCCGACAUGGAAAUCAACCACGAUGGGAUGUACCACGUCACCGACGAGGGUGACGGAUCUGGUGCGUGGCUGCCGAGCCCGCAAGGCCUUGCGGACGAACCGACCCACAGUGACGUAUCUACGAUCACCAUGGUGCCCGAACCCAAGGUUGAAGUGAAACCACACCAGCCAUGUUUCGAGGCACCGACCAUUUUGACAACUGAAAAAAUCCUGUAUGAAAUUCAGAACGAUGAGAAGAUAGCCAGCCUGUUGGGAAAGUACCCCAAAUACAACCGUGUCCUGGUGUACUACUACCUGUACAAGGGCAUGCGAACGCAGGAGAAGGACAACCCCCUGAUAGCGGAGGCCGCUGAGAAGGCCGGUGUCACGUACCAGCACGCUUACAACUUCAUUGGAAACUUCCGCCGUUCGAUCGGUGCUUCCCGGCACCGCGGACAGCGGAUUUGGACGCCGUGGACCAAAAAUUCUCCAGGCAAAGCCGCAGCUUCUCCAGCCGGCUUACCGAGCAGCUUACCUGGUGUUCUGCAACCUGAGGAGAACCAUGAUGGUUUAGGCUUUUCCAUGGAGGAAAACCAUACCGGUCUUCUGGAGCGAAUGGAAGGGGAAAGCCCGCCAUCUGGUGGGGAGGCCUCCAUAGUUGAUCCUUGCAUGACGAGGAUGGAUGGCAUGAACUCGGGAACAAACUUUUUGAAUGAGUUGAAGCAAGAUCCAGAGAUCGCAAAACAGCUGGAGCGAUUCCCCAAGUACAAUGGUGUGCUGGUUUACUACUAUCUGUACAAGGGCAUGCGGACGCAGGAGAAGGAUAACUCCUUGAUAGCAGAGGCCUCUGAGAAGGCUGGCGUCACGUAUCAGCACGCUUACUACUUUAUCGGAAACUUCCGCCGAGCAACCGGCGAAUCCCGUACGCGAACGCGAAGAGACGCCGGUCCAUGGGACCCUCCUCAUUUCCCUUACCCCGGGCCUCUGCAGCAACACCUCACGCAGUAUGGGCAGUCGGGCUCGCCGAGUUUAGAGUCAGCAUCAACUGAUGGCCAUGACGCUGAUGGCUCUUCAGAGCUGACGGAGGGUACAUUGGGCACGUCAACUGGUUACCGGGACGGCUGUGAGGAGCGUGGUGAGGGUGAUGGACUAGUCGGCCCGCCGUCUGACGGAGCCAUGUGGGGAGCUUGUACAACAUCACCUUUUCGUGGCUGUGGCCAAGAGAUGGAGCUGGUGACGGAGACUGAUCGGAUUCUUGAGAAACUCAAAGCAAAUAAAGACAUUGCAAGGAGGCUGGAGCGAUUCCCCAAAUAUAACCGUGUGCUAGCUUACUAUUACCUGUACAAGGGUAUGCGGACACAGGAAAAGGAUAACCCACUGAUAGCAGAGGCUGCAGAGAAGGCUGGUGUCACGUACCAGCACGCUUACAACUUCAUUGGGAAUUUCCGGAGAGCGACGGGAGGUUCCAAGGUGCGUGGAGCACGGCUUGGCAUGACCUGUGUGUCCGGCGUGACUGGCUCUGUGGACAAGGGUGUGGAGCAGCUGCACGGAUGCAGGAAACGCAGAAAAGGUGGCACGAUGUUGGGCUGGAGCCCCCAAGCCUCACCUGCACAGGCAUUGGGAACUGUCGGUUAUCCGGGUGGUGACAGAACGGGCGAUGACUCUGCAGAUUCAUUUGGCAUAAUCCGACAAAAUCUGCAGCGGAUCCAGCAAUUGAUGGAGGAUAACCAACGUUAUGGCUGUGAGGGUCUCGCCAUGGCGUUCUGUUUCCAACCGAGCACGGCUCACACCCAGGAGCCUCUUUUGUGGGUGCUCGGCUCACCAGAGGGGAAGAGCUUGCUUGCAGAACAUCGCAUCGGCGACUAUGUCGCCCUGCUAUGGAGAGCCAAGCGUAUCAGAGAUGUUGAAAUCAAGAAGAUGGAGUCGAAUGCUGACAAUUCCAAGGUGCUGGAUGAACUCGGCCAAUGGGACGAAGCCGAGAAGGACAGCACAGCCCUUCCACAAAGUACAGACUGUGGCCACGAGGUUCCCAAUGCAUCCACCUCUGAGCCUGGGCCCAGUCCCCCGAACCAACCUCUGAGAACCAACCGUAGGCUCCCGUCUACAAGCUCUGGUGGAGGGUGGAAUGCGAGGCCACAUUGUCACAUGGAGCAAGGACAUGGACAUCAAUGA